UCUAAACAAAUAUUCUGUCAUCUCUGCGGUAAGGUAGUUCUCUUUCAAUCUCAUAUUAUUUUUCAACACUCAUAUUGAGUCCUAAAAUCUUAGACAUAUAUUGUAGAACCAAAUCGAAGAUUAGGGUUCAAAAAUAGGUUCUUACCUCCGUAUUACAGCCGAUGGGGGACACACAAUGUCCAAAUUGAGUCGUCGUGAGAGAAAAGAUGAAGACGAUGGACAGGGCGUCUGGGAAAGGAAGUGUCAACAAUCAGAUGGUGACCGGACGCAUACUAAGAAUCUAAGAUGAGAGACAUAUGAGUGAAUAUACACUAAAAUGAGAGAGACGAAGGUGAAGGAGAUGCUUAGCUUUGUUAGAGAUGAAUGUGCGUUCGAGGAAAUUAAGAACAAAAUCAAGAUAAGAUUUUUGAAAUUUCUGAUUUCAUGCACCGAGUUAGCAGCCGAAGUAUAAAACGUACCGAAUGAAAGGGGAAAUUUAGGAAUUUCGGUUAAAAAUUUGGAGCAGGAAAAGAAGCUUUAGGUGGGCUGAAAAACUGACACGUGGAGAAAAUGGUUUUAUUUAUUAGAUUAGGGGAGUUAGAAUGAUAAUAAUGACAGUUUAUGGUUUGACUAUCAGAAGGUUUGAUUAAUACCGAAGAAGCAGGUAUUUUAUUUA